rnacentral:tRNA from 1 species
UAAGAGCGUGCAUCCUAGUUAGGCGUCCACACUUAUCGGUUUGUUUGAUGUUACAGCCAAGGGUCUGUAGCUCAGGUGGUUAGAGCACCGUCUUGAUAAGGCGGGGGUCGUAGGUUCAAGUCCUACCAGACCCACCAAGUUACGGGCGGCGGAGAGCGAUCUUGCCGUGAACUGGGGGAUUAGCUCAGCUGGGAGAGCACCUGCUUUGCAAGCAGGGGGUCGUCGGUUCGAUCCCGUCAUCCUCCACCAACACCUUGUGGUAGCCAAACGCAAGCAUCGAGAGAUCGGUGUUUGCGUUUGGCAUUGCCAAGACGAGUAGUAACUCGGCUGUUCUUUAACAAUAUGGAAUGUAGUAAAGGUGUCGCGGCGCGUUGAUGAGGCGCGCAAUUUAAACGCGACACUGGGUUGUGAUUGUAUCAACCAGUAUUACGAGUGAUCGAAAGACCGCUUGGAAUACGGCACAACGCGAGAACUCAGCCUAUAGCGAGACAUACUCGUUAUAG